GAUGAAGAACGUAGCGAAAUGCGAUAAGUAAUGUGAAUUGCAGAAUUCAGUGAAUCAUCGAAUCUUUGAACGCACAUUGCGCCCGCCAGUAUUCUGGCGGGCAUGCCUGUUCGAGCGUCAUUUCAACCAUCAAGCCCCCGGCUUGUGUUGGGGACCUGCGGCUGCCGCAGGCCCUGAAAAGCAGUGGCGGGCUCGCUGUCACACCGAGCGUAGUAGCAUACAUCUCGCUCUGGGCGUGCUGCGGGUUCCGGCCGUUAAACCACCUUCAUAACCCAAGGUUGACCUCGGAUCAGGUAGGAAGACCCGCUGAACUUAAGCAUAUCAAUAACGGAGG
rnacentral:misc_RNA from 1 species